ACACAUGCAAGUCGAACGAUUAACCCGCCCUCGGGCGGUUAUAGAGUGGCGAACGGGUGAGUAACACGUGACCAACCUGCCCCUUGCUCCGGGACAACCCAGGGAAACCUCGGCUAAUACCGGAUACUCCGCGCAGCCCGCAUGGGAGGCGCGGGAAAGCCCAGACGGCAAGGGAUGGGGUCGCGGCCCAUUAGGUAGACGGCGGGGUAACGGCCCACCGUGCCCGCGAUGGGUAGCCGGGUUGAGAGACCGAUCGGCCACAUUGGGACUGAGAUACGGCCCAGACUCCUACGGGAGGCAGCAGUGGGGAAUUUUGCGCAAUGGGGGAAACCCUGACGCAGCAACGCCGCGUGCGGGACGAAGGCCUUCGGGUUGUAAACCGCUUUCAGCAGGGAAUAUAGUGAAGGUACCUGCAGAAGAAGCUCCGGCUAACUACGUGCCAGCAGCCGCGGUAAUACGUAGGGAGCGAGCGUUAUCCGGAUUCAUUGGGCGUAAAGCGCGCGUAGGCGGCCCGUCAAGCGGGGUUUCAAAUCCAGGGGCUCAACCUCUGGCCGGACCCCGAACUGGCGGGCUCGAGUGCGGUAGAGGAAGGUGGAAUUCCCAGUGUAGCGGUGAAAUGCGCAGAUAUUGGGAAGAACACCGAUGGCGAAGGCAGCCUUCUGGGCCGCCACUGACGCUGAGGCGCGAAAGCUAGGGGAGCGAACAGGAUUAGAUACCCUGGUAGUCCUAGCCGUAAACGAUGGGCACUAGGUGUGGGGGAGCAUCUCCUCCGUGCCGCAGCCAACGCAUUAAGUGCCCC
rnacentral:rRNA from 1 species